rnacentral:sRNA from 1 species
GCCGCGCCUAGCUCGACGGGGCAAAAGCGGAGCACCCUACUCCGUUGGCGCGGCUUCCAAAUUAGGG